rnacentral:misc_RNA from 1 species
AUGAUGGUGCUUGCCAUCAUAGUUUUACUUUUCAGCACGAUUACUGUUAUGACCUCAUUGGUGGCUCUAUCAUUUUAUGGUGCAAGUCAACUCAAGUUUCAAUGGGUGGAACGCUACGAUAAGCUCCUCGUUGGUUCUGUGCUGUGUUUGGUGGGCAUUUUGACCCUUCUUUUUCACGAUCACGAUGAUGUAGGUUCCUCAGGAGUCCACGUGCACAGAAAACUAAAAAGUUUGCUGUAGGAGUUACUCUUCAGCCAGUGAAUCUGUUAAUGCAAAGAGAUACACAAACUUCCCCAUAUUCCAGACGCAGGGGUCGACUUUUCUGUAUGAGGUCUGAGGAUUCACCAUUUUCCAGUUGAGUAAUCUCGUUUUGCAACCAGCUCAUGAUGCUCUGGCAUGGUUAAAGCCAGCAUGGGGUUUAGGGCAGUUCAUUUUUGUUUAGAUUUGUGUUAAAACUUUCAAUAUAGCAACUACAAGAGGAUAUGUAUUUUAAAGGAUUUUCUUUUGAACCCUUUUCUUUGUAAAUGUUAAAAGUGUACAAUACUCG